GACGAACGCUGGCGGCGUGCCUAAUACAUGCAAGUCGAGCGAAAAGACGCUGAGCUUGCUCCUCUGACGAUAGCCGCGGACGGGUGAGUAACACGUGUAUCACCUCCCUAUCAGUCUGGGAUCACUUCGGGAAACCGGCGCUAAUCCCGGAUAAUAUAUUGCACCGCAUUGUUGAUUAGAAAGAUACGGUUUUUGUGUCACUUAUAGCUGCAUCUGGGCCGCAUUGGCUGGUUGGUAGGGUAACGGCUUACCAAGGCAACGAUGCGUAACCGACCUGUGAGGGGGAUCGGCGACACUGGAACGUGGACAGGGUCAUGAGGCCUGCGGGAGGCAGCAGUCGGGAACCGUCCGCAAUGGGGGAAAACCUGACGGAGCAAGGGGGCGUGAGAUAUGAAGGUCUUCGGAGCAGAAAACCCUCUUAUGGGGGAAAAACAAAUGUGGAAGGAACCAAGCACGGCGUGACGGUACCUGAUCAGAAAGCCACGGCUAACUACGUG
rnacentral:rRNA from 1 species